AUGGCCGGUCGACGCAGCUCCUCCUCUCACUCCCCUAGCCCCAAGCCUAGAGAUUGGGAGAGAUGUUUUGUCCCGCACAGCAAAUUAGUGAUGCUUCAGACCAAGGGAUUUCUUCCCCCAGCGUACAUGGUCCCGGUUCGAGCCGGGCUUGCCACCUAUAACAGCGGAGAGCAAGCGGAGAGCCUUCCCAAUCCCUCCAAGGGAGAGCGGGUAUGCACUGUCCCUUAUUUGGUAAGAGGGCUCGGAUUUCCAAUUCAUCGGUUUCUCCGGGGGCUCCUGGAGUUCUACGGCCUCCAGUUGCAUAACCUUUCGCCUGCCUCCAUGCUGCAUAUCGCGGGAUUCAUAGCCCUUUGCGAGUUGUUUUUGGGCUGUGAGGCUCAUUUCGCUCUGUGGAAGAAGCUCUUCUGCCUUGUGCCCCAUUCUCAAAAGGGGUCAAUAUAUCAAGUGGGCGGAGCCGAAGUGUGGCGUAUUCCCGGGACCGGAUACCUGUCCAGAACCCCAAAGAAGACUUCCGAAGACUGGCCUUCAGAAUGGUUUUAUAUAGAAGACGUCCCCCUCCCGGAUCCUAUUAGAAUCGGCCUUCCUGAGUUCGACAACGCCCCUUUGAAGAAGCACCGGAGCUGGCGUCCAUGA
rnacentral:rRNA from 1 species